AAUAACCCUAUCCAUAGCAGUACUACAAGUCAUCAAUCGACACUCAUACAGUCAUCAACCAGUAAUGAAAAUAUACAAAAAUCCACAGAAUCCAAAGCCAUGGGCAUAGGAAUCGGCAUUUCAGUUGCAGUCAUUUGUAUAGUUGGGGCCACAAUUGCUAUAAUCGUUCUCAUGAAAAGACAAGUAUUACCUUGUUCGAAGACUACAUCGAAUUCUAAUACUGGCAAGCACACGUUUGACAAUGCACCUGAGCAAAGCUAUGAAGACCUGGUUGACAGAAAUGGACAAAAUGCCAACUACUCUGUACUGGGCAUAAGUAUUGAUUGUGCUGACGGCAAAGCUCGCAAUUAUAAUAUAGAAAGGGAUAAGGGUAUUGAACGUGAAACAAAUGACAAAUGCAAUUCUGACUACUAUAAUACCAGGGUUGCCCUUGAAAAUGUUGACUAAUAUUACACAAAUUAAACGUUUUUAAAAUUAAUUUAACAACCACGGAAAACAAGCAUGUUCCUAGUAUAAAAAGACGCAUUAAACAUACUAGUAUGGUGAUUUUAACAUACUCAUGUCUAUCGCCCAUAGUAUGUAUGGCCGAUGCAUAAGAUAAAUGACUUAACAUGUUUCCAAGAAUCUACAGUUAAGGCCUGAAUUCAAAGACUGCCAAUCUUAUAGUUUUAAGAGCAGUAUAGCGAUCGGUAAUAUCUAUGGAUACGAACUAGUGACCGAUUACCGUGUAAGUAAUAUGAUACGCUAAGAGUUCUUGCAAAAUGUAUGAUUAAAUGUAUGCAGUAUGUUUAAAUGAGCACUUUAAAUAAGAAUCACUGAAUGAAUAUUCUGUCGAAAAUUGUAUUUAAACGCAAAUUUAGAGUAACGGCAUGUCCCUUUUGUUUCUAGUUAUACCCAAUUUAAAGCUAAUGCCACGUGAAUACUAUAAGAACACAAACUGUGAUCGCGAUACGUGGUAUAUAUAUUAAUGACACGUGAAUACUAUUAGAACACAAACUGUGAUCGCGAUAAGUGGUAUAUAUAUAUUAAUGACACGUGAAUACUAUAAGAACACAAACUGUGAUCGCGAUAAGUGGUAUUGAUAUGUUUUGUAUUCGCGUAUUGCCAUCAUGUAUUUAGUACAUGAUCACACAGUAAAAUAUGCACACUGAUUUAUUGGCUUAUAUACCAGCUUUCAUCUUUCAAUUAUACCGUCUUCUACCACUGGUAUAUUGUUUUCUUAUUUACUACCUUUCAUUUUCAUAAAUAUACUGCUUAGUAUUUAAUGACAAAU